AGCUAAUAGAUACCCUGGUAGUCCUGGCAGUAAGCGGUGCGCGUUUGGUGUGGGAGGAUUCGACCCCUUCUGUGCCGGAGCUAACGCGUUAAACGCGCCGCCUGGGGAGUACGGUCGCAAGAUUAAAACUCAAAGAAAUUGACGGGGGCCCGCACAAGCGGUGGAGUAUGUGGCUUAAAUUCGAUGCAACGCGAAGAACCUUACCUAGCCUUGACAUGCAUCUCUAAGUCGGUGAAAGCCGGCGACCAUAGCAAUAUGGAAUUUGCACAGGUGCUGCAUGGCUGUCGUCAGCUCGUGUCGUGAGAUGUUUGGGUUUAAGUCCCGCAACGAGCGCAACCCCUGUGAACUGUUGCCACCACACUACGGUGUGAGCACUCUGUUCAGACUGCCCUGUGAAACGGGGAGGAAGGUGGGGAUGACGUCAAGUCAGCAUGGCCCUUACGGCUAGGGCUGCACACGUACUACAAUGCUCAGUACAGAACGAACCGAAACCGCGAGGUGGAGGAAAUCCCGAAAACUGAGCUCAA
rnacentral:rRNA from 1 species